rnacentral:rRNA from 1 species
GCUGAAGGCAUCUAAGCGUGAAGCCCCCCUCAAGAUGAGAUAUCCCAUUCUUUAAGAAGUAAACCCCCUUGAAGACGACGAGGUAGAUAGGGCAGAGGUGGAAGUGUGGUAACACAUGGAGCUGACUGUUACUAAUCGGGUGAGGGCUUGACCAA